rnacentral:lncRNA from 1 species
CAAGGUUUUUUGGCUGAGGGGUUUGUUUUUGCCAAAAGCAUCUAAGUAGGUCCUUACUUUCAAAUUUCAGCAGCAUAUUCUAGUAGAUUAAUCUUUCUAGGUAAGCAACCUGUUCUAUGCAAGCGAGUUGAGAAAAUAAUUUUAUUCCAAGCAUCAUCAUUCAGAUAAUCAUUCUCUAUUUCACUUGUUACUCAGUGCAGCAUAGCAGUCAAGCAGUCUCAAACUAUGAGAGCCAGAUGAUUCGAAUCGAGUUUCUUAACCUUCCAAGGUGAACCUAACCCC